GUGCUGCAUAAGUAUGUUUAAAAAAAAUCCAAAUACAUAAUGGUCCAACAUUAACAAUACAUAUUAGAACGUCUUUUGAGCCCGUAGCAAAACUUGCAUUUGGACGAGUAUUUAUCAUACCUGUCAAGGUGCAUCAGUCACGAGAAGGACUAGAUUUUAAGUGAUACAUUUGGACGACUGCUAAGUAUACAUGUACAGGAAC
rnacentral:lncRNA from 1 species